rnacentral:rRNA from 1 species
AGCGGCGGACGGGUGAGUAACACGUGGGUAACCUGCCCAAGAGACUGGGAUAACACCUGGAAACAGAUGCUAAUACCGGAUAACAACACUAGACGCAUGUCUAGAGUUUGAAAGAUGGUUCUGCUAUCACUCUUGGAUGGACCUGCGGUGCAUUAGCUAGUUGGUAAGGUAACGGCUUACCAAGGCAAUGAUGCAUAGCCGAGUUGAGAGACUGAUCGGCCACAUUGGGACUGAGACACGGCCCAAACUCCUACGGGAGGCAGCAGUAGGGAAUCUUCCACAAUGGACGAAAGUCUGAUGGAGCAACGCCGCGUGAGUGAAGAAGGGUUUCGGCUCGUAAAGCUCUGUUGGUAGUGAAGAAAGAUAGAGGUAGUAACUGGCCUUUAUUUGACGGUAAUUACUUAGAAAGUCACGGCUAACUACGUGCCAGCAGCCGCGGUAAUACGUAGGUGGCAAGCGUUGUCCGGAUUUAUUGGGCGUAAAGCGAGUGCAGGCGGUUCAAUAAGUCUGAUGUGAAAGCCUUCGGCUCAACCGGAGAAUUGCAUCAGAAACUGUUGAACUUGAGUGCAGAAGAGGAGAGUGGAACUCCAUGUGUAGCGGUGGAAUGCGUAGAUGUAUGGAAGAACACCAGUGGCGAAGGCGGCUCUCUGGUCUGCAACUGACGCUGAGGCUCGAAAGCAUGGGUAGCGAACAGGAUUAGAUACCCUGGUAGUCCAUGCCGUAAACGAUGAGUGCUAAGUGU